AAAUUCCAAUCGAACGCGGAGAUAGCUGGUUCUCCCCGAAAUAGCUUUAGGGCUAGCCUGAGGUAGUAAGUAUAGGCGGUAGAGCACUGAUCGGGCUAGGGGCCGUAAAGGUUACCGAACCCUGUCAAACUCCGAAUGGAUAUACUGUAGAGCCUUGGAGUCAGACUACGAGUGAUAAGAUCCGUGGUCAAAAGGGAAACAGCCCAGACCACCAGCUAAGGUCCCCAAUGUCGUACUAAGUGGAAAAGGAUGUGGGGUUUCAUAAACAACCAGGAUGUUGGCUCAGAAGCAGCCACCAUUUAAAGAGUGCGUAAUAGCUCACUGGUCGAGAGACCCUGCGCCGAAGAUUCCCGGGGCUAAAGUACGAAACCGAAGCUGUGGCUGUAUACGUAAAGUAUACGGGGUAGGGGAGCGUUCCCAUAGGGUAGAAGUCGAACUGGAAGGUUCGGUGGACUUGUGGGAAGUGAGAAUGUUGGUAUGAGUAGCGAAAAGAAAGGUGAGAAUCCUUUCCACCGAAAGCAUAAGGAUUCCUGAGCAACGAUCGUCGUCUCAGGGUAAGUCGGGACCUAAUCCGAGGCAGAGAGCGUAGGAGAUGGACAACUGGUUGAUAUUCCAGUACCGGUAGUAAUUGUUUGAGCAAUGGAGUGACACAGAAGGGCAGGCAAGCAUGCGAAUGGAAGAGCAUGUGUAAGCGUGUAGGGUGGUGCAUAGGCAAAUCCGUGCACUGAAAGCCUGAGGCGUGAUGCGGAGUGAGCAGAGAUGCGAGCGAAGUUGUUGACCCCACACUGUCGAGAAAAGCUUCUAGUGAGAGAGCUACCGCCCGUACCGUAAACCGACACAGGUAUGCGGGGAGAGAAUCCUAAGGUGCGCGGGAGAACCCUCGUUAAGGAACUCGGCAAAAUGUACCCGUAACUUCGGGAUAAGGGUAGCCACUGUUGUGAAGUCCCAUGCGGAUGGAGCAUAGAGUGGUCGCAGAGAAGAGGCCCAAGCGACUGUUUACCAUAAACACAGGUGCCUGCUAAAGCGAAAGCUGACGUAUAGGUGCUGACACCUGCCCAGUGCCGGAAGGUUAAGGAAGGAUGUUCGGAUUAGUCCAAAGCAUUCGACUGAAGCCCCGGUGAACGGCGGCCGUAACUAUAACGGUCCUAAGGUAGCGAAAUUCCUUGUCGGGUAAGUUCCGACCCGCACGAAAGGCGU
rnacentral:rRNA from 1 species